UAGGUUCUAUUUUAAAAUUUUACCAUUGAAAGCUGUUGCAAGGACUAUUGGAACAAAGUCAAAUUAAGUUGUUGCACUAUUUAGAGUUUACGUUUGAUUAUUCAGGAAAAAGAAAACAAAAAGAAAUAAAGCAAUUAAAUGUGAACUAUUAUUCGAAAUGAAUUGUUUUUACACCGGUAAAUGGACAAUGCGAAUGCUUUAUCCAACAGGCAUAUUUAGGGGCGUUAGUUCCAGACCACUGCAACAACAAAUCAUUAACUAUAGGAACAGAUUAGAAGAGUUAGAGACUCCAGUUUAAACCAAAGACGAGAAAAUAUAUCUGCUAAAGGAUCAAAUAUUAGAUUGUAGUAAAGAAAUGACUGCUGCAGCUCUCACGGAAAAGCUUGGGAGCAAUAUCAUCAUAGGAAAUGCAAAUAUUCUAUUAAAUACGGACGGAAAUACACAUAAACUAAAAGAGAAGCUAAACUCCCUUAUACAAAUAUGUAAUGACGAGAUCAAAGAAGUGGCAGAAAUGCAUGCUGAACAAACAUGGAAAAUGAAAUAAACAGAGAUCCAGGAACAAUGGGACUAAAACAAACUUCGUCUGUUAUUGUCAGUAGCCAGAAUGAAACAUUAAAUGAACGAAGUGCACGAAAUGGAAGAAAUCCUGGAAUUUUUGGACGUCUAUCAAAAGUUUUUAGAACAGGCAGGAUUAGGGGUAUUAGAAAAAGGGCACUGCAGCAACAAGUCAUUGACUAUGGCAACAGAUUAGAAGAGCUAGAAGCUGUAAUUCAAGACAAAGAAGAUCAAAUAAAGCUGCUAAAGGAUGAAAUGUUCGAUUGUAGCAAAGAAUUGACAUUGACUCUCACAGAAAAGGUUGGAAGUAAUAUUAUCAUAGGGAAUGGAAAUAUUCUGCUAAAUACGGACGGAGAUACUCAUAAACUAAAAGACAAAUUAAACUUCCUGAUAAAAAUAUGUAAUGACGAGUUCAAAGAAGUGGCAGAAAGUCAUGCAGAACUUAAAUGGAGAAUGGAAUCAACAGAGAUUGACAGACAGAAAAGACGAACAUAUCCUGCAAAUCAGAUGAUUUAAAUGGAAUGAUAUUGAGAAGUUUAUAACCAACCAAUAUACUUAGUAUUUUAUCCAACAUUGAUGCAAAGUUGGAGCUGAUACAGUCUACAGAUGACACAAACAUGAAAAUGUUAAUAGAAAAGAUAACCGAUGUCAAAAGUCUUGUUACCCGAGUAAAACAGGACACAAUUACAGAUGAUUUCAUUCUAGAAGCAGCUGAUGCUAUGAAAUACAAAACUUCAGAUAAAGUGGUUCCUAAGUUGGGGAGAGAGUUAUCAAAAUGUCUGGCGGUGAAAUACGUGGCACGACCUGAAAAGAUAUAUGGUGCCUUUGGCGAUGUUGGUAAUCAUCCGUUAGGUGAGAGACUUACAUCAGAUGAACUUGCUAAUGCUUGUACUCGCUGGUUGGAGCUCUGGAUGAAAAACAAGAGACCUAUGGACCUUGUUUACAAACUGAGAGACCUAGAGAAGAGUGUCAUACAAGAUGAAGCUGAAAAGCUGAGAACAAAGUUACAAAAGGGACAAAAGAGAUGUACCUCUUCACAUGAGACUGCUAGUAAUGCAGAUUCUGAUCUGGAAACCAAUUAUAAAAAAAUGUUUAUCGAAACAGCUCAGUUUACUGCCAGCACAUUGUCUAUGCAUAAACUGGAAAUGAAAGAGUUAUCAGAUACAGCUCCGAACACAAGCCAAAUGUCAGAUACUUCCUUAUAAUCAACAAUGAUUUUUGUCAUGUCACUGCAAUAUUUUCGCCUUCAAAAACAUAUGUAAUUUUCGGCUUGAUUCAAGGAAGUUGAGGUUUUAAUUUAGUCUGCACUGACUUAUUUUAAGUGUUAUGUACGACAUCACAUCAAACCUCGGAUACUAAAUGACCUACAACCAUGUUACUUGGGUCUAAAGGUGCAUAAUUAAGGGUAUAAGCAACAUCCACAAACAGGAAGACAACAUCGCCAAUAUUUCACAUCUCAAUGAUUUGUAUUAUUCUUUAGAGACAAACAUUUUGAUCCUUUCAUUGCAAUUAUUAAAUAAGGUUUAUUUGGAGUCAAUACAAACUUAAUAAUUGUGUAUUACCAUUGUUUUAACAUUAUAGUUAUAACGCAGACCACUGCUGAAAUGUAGCAAAAUUUUAAUACUUAUAAUGUACUUGUCAUAAAUUCAAUAGUGUUAUUUUUCGUUUAAUGUGUAUGCAAUUACUUUAAUUUGUACUUGGUGUGCUUAAAUGCAUUCAUUUACAGUUUCACAAGAACUGGCAAACAGACAUACCUGUAUAAGUAGAGCGUAAGGUUCAUCAUAAAAGAAUAAUUAUCAUCUAUAUAUAUAUACAGAAUGUACACAGCCAUGUAUCACCAUCACUGCUGGUGAUCCGAUGGAUAAAUCUAUUGUAGAGUUGUCACUGGUUCAGACGUACUUAUAUAUAUAUAUCAACUUGUCCAUGUUUUGUUUACCUUGAGAUUUAACCAUCAGUAUUUAAAUACAUUAAUGAAAAUACUUGAUACUUGAUAACCUUAAUCAUGAUUGUGUAAAUAUAUGUCUCACACAUGUGUCUUUCAUUCAUUUUUCAAUAAAAGUUUGUUUAAGUUUA